GGGGGAUUAGCUCAGCUGGCUAGAGCGCUACCAUGGCAUGGUAGAGGUCAUCGGUUCGACUCCGAUAUUCUCCACCA
rnacentral:tRNA from 1 species